GACGAACGCUGGCGGCGUGCCUAAUACAUGCAAGUUGAGCGCUGAAGGGUGGUCCUUGUACCAGAUGGUUGAGCAGCGAACGGGUAAGUAACGGUUGGGGACCCUGCUGUUGAGCUGGGAUCACCAUUUGGAAACGAAUGCUAUUACCGCAUACAAACUUUAAACACAAGGUUUAAGCUUGAAAGAUGCAAUUGCAUCACACAAAGAGAAUCCCGCGUUGGAUUAUCUAGAUGGUGAGGUAAAGGCUCACCAAGGCGAUGAUACAUAGCCGACCUGAGAGGGUGGUCGGCCACAUUGGGACUGGGACAAGGCCCCAACUCCUACGGGAGGCAGCAGUAGGGAAUCUUCGGCAAUGGACGAAAGUCUGACCGAGCAACCGCGCGUGAGUGAAGAAGGUUUUCGGAUCGUAAAACUCUUUUGGUAGGGGAGAACGUUGGAGAGAGGUGAAAGCUCAUCAAGUGACGGUAACUACCCAGAAAGGCACGGCUAACUACGUG
rnacentral:rRNA from 1 species